AAAUUGAAGAGUUUGAUCAUGGCUCAGAUUGAACGCUGGCGGCAGGCCUAACACAUGCAAGUCGAACGGUAACAGGAAGUAGCUUGCUGCUUUGCUGACGAGUGGCGGACGGGUGAGUAAUGUCUGGGAA
rnacentral:rRNA from 2 species